AAAGGUUUACUGCCGAAGGAUCGGCCCGCGUCUGAUUAGCUAGUUGGUGAGGUUAUGGCUCACCAAGGCGACGAUCAGUAGCUGGUCUGAGAGGAUGAUCAGCCACACUGGGACUGAGACACGGCCCAGACUCCUACGGGAGGCAGCAGUGGGGAAUAUUGGACAAUGGGGGCAACCCUGAUCCAGCCAUGCCGCGUGAGUGAUGACGGCCUUAGGGUUGUAAAGCUCUUUUCUCCGGGACGAUAAUGACGGUACCGGAGGAAUAAGCCCCGGCUA
rnacentral:rRNA from 1 species